AGGGGGCUUCGGGCCAGGAACCGCCCAUGUGACCCACGAAGCACACCUGAGCAGAGACAGACCUUCUAGAUUUCUGUUCCUGGAGCUCAUGUCUCGAGACAACGACAAACGGACCGAUCUAAAUAUUCUGCAAUGUCUAGGGUCCACUGCAGGUUUAAAGACAGAAGCGCUCGGCUCACAGCCACCUCCCAGCGCCCCCAGCAAGGGCCCACCAGGGGUGAAAAUAAGGUCUCAAUCAACAGUCUGCACACCAAGGUCUCCUCGUAAUCCUUUUUAAUAAUAAUCAGCUCACACGGCUACAACCAGUAUGAAAGCAAUAAUCCCGGACUUUGUAUAAAUUAACAAGCCAAGAAUCAAGGUGACACUACCAAACAAAAGGGCCAAAUGGUAGGACCAAGGAGAGACCGCCACCAAGACAAUGUCUGCAAAAACAUGGAAGUGGGACAGGUGCCACAGCCAGGUGCCACAGCCAGGUGCCACGGCCAGGUGCCCACACACACCAGGUGCCAGAGCCAGGUGAUCACACACACCAAGUACCAUGGCCAGGUGCCACAGCCAGGUGCCCACACACACCAGGUGCCGCAGAAGCUGGGCCACAGGCUUCAGCAAGGCCGGGAUAUAGGAAAAGACCAGCACCGCACAACGGUCCUCAGGAUCCUGGCUCAGAGGAGUGUUUCCUGCAGGCAAUUCCCGUGUCCCCCGCUUCCCACACAGCGAUGCAGAUGGAGGAGCCGUCCCGGCAGACCACGGAACACCCCGCUGUUGUUGUCCCCGGAUGUCCUCCUCCAUGUGCCGCCUGCUUCGCAACUCCGGCCCACCGCAGACACCGGGGCUUGGGGCCCCGCUGAGUCAGGCACAGCACCCAGACCUGGUCCGUCUGGGCGUCUUGUGGCUGCUGAUGUCCACGGUCUGCGGCGGCCCCUGGGCUCUCUGCCGCAUGAUCAUGGGCACUACCAUGUC